GUGUGGGCCUGUGGGGUGAAGGUGUGGGCCUGUGGGGUGAAGGUGUGUCAUUGUGGGAGGGAGGUGUGUAAUAGUUGGGUGGAGGUGUGGGCCUGUGGGGUGAAGGUGUGUCAUUGUGGGAGGGAGGUGUGUAAUAGUGGGGUGGAGGUGUGGGCCUGUGGGGUGAAGGUGUGUCAUUGUGGGAGGGAGGUGUGUAAUAGUUGGGUGGAGGUGUGGGCCUGUGGGGUGAAGGUGUGUCAUUGUGGGAGGGAGGUGUGUAAUAGUGGGGUGGAGGUGUGGGCCUGUGGGGUGAAGGUGUGUCAUUGUGGGAGGGAGGUGUGUAAUAGUGGGGUGGAGGUGUGGGCCUGUGGGGUGAAGGUGUGUCAUUGUGGGAGGGAGGUGUGUAAUAGUGGG